rnacentral:rRNA from 1 species
AAAAUCGGAGGCCCCGACUGUUUACUAAAAACACAACACAGUGCAAUCAUAAAUGUGAUAGUAUACUGUGUGAAAUUUGCCCAAUGCCAUUAAUAUAAAUGCGGUCAUAUUACACUGUGACUAAUUGAAAAUCUGGUUAAUAGCGGUCUUAACCAUGNGGAUCCUAAGGUAGCAAAAUAGAUUGGCCAUUAAAUGUGGUCCGGUAUCAAUAAUGUAACGAUGGCCUCACUGUCUCUACA